GGAGAGGUGGCUGAGCCCGGUUGAAAGCGCUCGACUCGAAAUCGAGUAGGUGGGUAAUACCUAUCUCGCGGGUUCGAAUCCCGCCCUCUCCGCCA
rnacentral:tRNA from 1 species